rnacentral:rRNA from 1 species
AACGUAGGAGGCGAGCGUUAUCCGGAUUCACUGGGCGUAAAGCGCAUGUAGGUGGCUCGGCAAGUCCGUUGUGAAAGCCUCUGGCUCAACUGGGGGAGGACAACGGAAACGGCCGGGCUUGAGGGUCAGAGAGGAAGGUGGAAUUCCCGGUGUAGCGGUGGAAUGCGUAGAGAUCGGGAGGAACACCAGUAGCGAAGGCGGCCUUCUGGCUGACUCCUGACACUGAGAUGCGAAAGCGUGGGUAG